UACGUAGGGCGCAAGCGUUAUCCGGAAUUAUUGGGCGUAAAGAGCUCGUAGGCGGUUUGUCGCGUCUGCCGUGAAAGUCCGGGGCUCAACUCCGGAUCUGCGGUGGGUACGGGCAGACUAGAGUGAUGUAGGGGGGAGACUGGAAUUCCUGGUGUAGCGGUGAAAUGCGCAGAUAUCAGGAGGAACACCGAUGGCGAAGGCAGGUCUCUGGGCAGUAACUGACGCUGAGGAGCGAAAGCGUGGGGGAGCGAACAGGAUAGAUACC
rnacentral:rRNA from 1 species